GGAGAAGGCAGCAGUUCAGUGUCAAAAACUGAACGACUCUUCAAGAACCAGAAUGUUAGGACUUUGUCUCAGUUUAUUGCUUGUCAGUGUUCACAGAACUUCUCUACUAGCUGGUCACAAUCAGGUCAGGCUGGUAAAUGGUACGAGUAACUGCUGUGGUCGAGUGGAAAUCCAGUACGAAGCCCAGUGGGGAACAGUGUGUGAUGAUGACUGGGACUUAAAGGAUGCAGAGGUGGUGUGUAGACAGCGUGGAUGUGGUAAAGCAAUCAUCGCUCCUCAUAGUGCC